CAGAAUGGCCGCCCUGAACAUCCCCAAUCUCAUAUGAUCUCAGAAGUGAACCAGGGUCGUGCCUGGUUAGUAUUUGGGUGGGAGACUACCUGAGAAUACCGGGUGCUAUAGGCU
rfam:Otolemur garnettii contig052409, whole genome shotgun sequence.